AACGUGGUGAUCCUGGGUGACCUCAACGCUGGCUGCAGCUACAUCACCGUCAAAGGCUGGGAGGUGCUGCGUCUGAGAACCGACCCCAAGUUUCACUGGCUGAUCGGAGACAAGGAAGACACCACCGUUCGUGAGAAGACGCAAUGCGCCUACGACCGGAUCAUCGUCCACGGACGUGAGAUGAUCUCCUGCAUUGUUCCAGGAUCAGCUCAAGCUUUCAAUUUCAGAGAGAAAUUCCAUCUUACUGAGGAAGAGGCUCUUGAGGUGAGCGAUCAUUUUCCUGUAGAAGUCGACCUGAAGCCCAACUCCCUAACCCACAACGAGCUGUAAGACCACCCGGGACGGCACUGACGAACCAGACGACCUUGAUUUCACUUUUUUUUGAGAAUAAAAAAAGACAAGAUACGAGAGACCGUGUUACAUUGUAAUUGUGUGAUGCUUUCGUGUCAGUCGCGAUACGGGUUUUUGGGGCUUCCUCCUGCACACACACACCAAAACCACGUCAAAGCUGACAUACUUUUAAAAAACUAACAACAGUUUAAGGAUUCUUACCGUUAAUUGUUGUUGAUUGAUUGAUGUAUUUUCUUUACACUUCCACAAUGUUCCAGCGGUUGGUUUUCCAGAUUUGCUGUCAGACAGAGUCAUGAUGAAUCAAAUAAAAUAUAACUUAGUUGCAAGUGUGCAGCAGUAUGUUUGACAGGAAGUCAAACGGGGACAGCGGAUGAGUCACUUGGUGCGCUUUUCUUUUCUGAUCAUAGCGAACAUGUCUUCAUGCAGCUCACAUUACCAGCUUUUUGCUGUCACCAAUUUGUAAUGAUGGAAGAAAGCUUUUCAGAUCUACUGAGGGAUGCAUUUGCAGGUAAGAAAAACACUAUUUGUUUUUGGCUUUGCUUUGUUUUUACCUUGUUUACACUAUUAUGAACAUGUCUAAAUAUCAAAGGAAAUAUGUGGUUUCAGAGGCCUCUUUUCCAUCCUUCCAUGAAGGAGAUCUGGACUUUGAGAAUUUAUAUUCUGAAGAGGACUCAAGCACCAUCUCUAGUGAGACUAUACCAACAAAAGAGAAGCAGACUUUGCACCAGGAAGCACCCAGUUUCUGUCAGCCAGGUAUUAUAAACACGGCCGAAAACAUUGAGGAAGAGGUGCCUGACGAAGUUGGUUUUCAAGGCGAGGUCAUUGUGAGCACGGGAAAAUCACAGGAGGAUUAUUACACAAGCUCGGGGGAAGAUUCUGCCCAGGAAGGAGAGGAUGGAGAGGGUGGAGGAGAGGAAAUGAAAUCGGUAAAACAGCUGAUGUGGGCCCACAGCGGCGAGGGAUCCCACCACGGCAGUAAAGGUGACAGACCCUCUGCGGAGAGACGACCUCUGGCCCCAGAGGGGGAGAAAAAGACUCGAGUUAGAAACAAGGAGCAAGGUGAGAGCGAGAGUGAUGAGAUGUCCUAUUUCCAGAGAGUCCAUGAACAUGAAAGGACUGAAAGCGAUCAGCAAGAGCCUGAUUCUGAGAGUGAGGCGGCAAAAUGUGAAGAAGAGGAACAAGAUGAUGAUUAUGAUGAUGAAAGUAAUUAUGAAAGAGAAGACAAUGUUCCCACUUUGUGCUGCGGAUGGGAGGAUGAAAAUCCCCGCUGGGACAAUCCAGUAGGGGACAUUAUGGACUUUCCUGAGUUAAUGGUGCAGCAGGACCUCAUUGCGGAAGAUGAUUAUGGGAAAUAUGUAGAGAAAAUCAAGGACUUCUCAGGGGAGGAGCACCAAGACGCAGGUGAGAGCUUCGCAGAGUAUCCCUCAGACCUUUCUUCCUAUGAAUCUAUAGAAGAUGGAGAAAAGGAUGAAGAAAAUAAUGGCCAACGUACAGGAGACCAGGCUACCAUGCAAAGAGUGAGUCAUUCAGAGAUGUUGCUUGUGGGGAGCAGAGGAACAGAACAGGGGAAAGCUGAACUUGUGGAGACCAUGUCUGGAGAUAAAGCUGAGCUGAGGCUUGAGACGUCUGAUUCCUACAGCUCCAGUGAUGACGAAACCCAAACUACAAGUGAUGAGGAACCCAAUGUUACUUCAAAAGACCUUGAAAAUAAAAGCCAACUGGAGGAGCAUCACAGUGGGAGUAGAAUGUGUGUACGUGAGGAUCCAAAAACGGGUCUUUUCUCUGAUGACCUGUUAGUUUCCGAUAAAGAGGAUAUGACUCUGUGUCCUGCUGAAGGAGUCAGAAUGUCCUCGGGGUCCCUGGAUGAUAGAUUCUUCUUUAGCACAGAAUAUCCAGAUUCUCAGAUCUCAGAGGAGGGAGAGCUCGGAGAUGAUGAGUACGAAGACAAGAGCAACUGGGAACAAGAGCAGGAAAGAAUCAGAGCUUUCUACGAGUUCUAUGACGACAGUGAUCAGCUGACAGGAGACGAAGGAAGACAGACAAAAGUCCACUUCUCCACAGAGCUGUUUUCUCAGAUCAUUGUCUAUGACACAGACAGCAGCGACAGAGGCUCACUAAGCAGCUCCACAGACGGAGAGGAGGAGCUGAGCUCCGCAGAGACACCUGAGGUUUGCACGACCACCCACGAAAACACGCCUCUGUACUGCUGGCACCAUCAACGACUUUCACUGCUUCCUUUGACCAGGAACCAAAGGAGCCCGUUGAAAGAACAGCAAUCAAACCCAGAGUUCCAAAUACUCAGGCAGAAUCUGAGUCCAGUCUGA
rnacentral:lncRNA from 1 species